rnacentral:rRNA from 1 species
GACAGAGGGUGCAAACGUUGUUCGGAUUUACUGGGCGUAAAGCGCGUGUAGGCGGCUUUGCAAGUCGGAUGCGAAAGCCCACGGCUCAACCGUGGAAGUGCAUCCGAAACUGCAUGGCUUGAGUCUCGGAGAGGAAGGUGGAAUGCUUGGUGUAGAGGUGAAAUUCGUAGAUAUCAAGCAGAACACCUGCGGCGAAGGCGGCCUUCUGGACGAUGACUGACGCUGAGACGCGAAAGCGUGGGGAGCAAACAGG